GAUGAACGCUAGCGGGAGGCCUAACACAUGCAAGUCGAACGGGAUUGGUAGCAAUACCAUGAGAGUGGCGCACGGGUGAGUAACGCGUAUGCAACCUACCUUUUACAGAGGAAUAGCCCAGAGAAAUUUGGAUUAAUACCUCAUAGUACUUUUUGAUCACAUGGUUUAAUAGUUAAAGCUCCGGCGGUUUAAGAUGGGCAUGCGUGACAUUAGAUAGUUGGUAAGGUAACGGCUUACCAAGUCAGCGAUGUCUAGGGGGUCUUAAAGGAUGAUCCCCCACACUGGUACUGAGACACGGACCAGACUCCUACGGGAGGCAGCAGUGAGGAAUAUUGGUCAAUGGGCGCAAGCCUGAACCAGCCAUCCCGCGUGAAGGAUGACAGCCCUACGGGUUGUAAACUUCUUUUGUAUAGGAAGAAAAAUCUCUACGUGUAGAGAUCUGACGGUACUGUACGAAUAAGCAUCGGCUAACUCCGUGCCAGCAGCCGCGGUAAUACGGAGGAUGCAAGCGUUAUCCGGAUUUAUUAGGUUUAAAGGGUGUGUAGGCUGAAUAAUAAGUCAGUGGUGAAAUACUGCCGCUUAACGGUAGAACUGCCAUUGAUACUGCAAGUCUUGAAUAUGGUUGAGGUAGGCGGAAUGUGUCGUGUAGCGGUGAAAUGCAUAGAUAUGACACAGAACACCAAUUGCGAAGGCAGCUUACUAAGCCAUUAUUGACGCUGAGGCACGAAAGCGUGGGGAGCGAACAGGAUUAGAUACCCUGGUAGUCCACGCCGUAAACGAUGAUCACUCGCUGUCUGCGAUACACAGUAGGCGGCUGAGCGAAAGCAUUAAGUGAUCCACCUGGGGAGUACGAUCGCAAGGUUGAAACUCAAAGGAAUUGACGGGGGCCCGCACAAGCGGAGGAACAUGUGGUUUAAUUCGAUAAUACGCGAGGAAACUUACCUGGGCUUAAAUGUAGAACGACAGUUCCCGAAAGGGAAUCUUCUUCGGACGGACUGCAAGGUGCUGCAUGGUUGUCGUCAGCUCGUGCCGUGAGGUGUCGGGUUAAGUCCCAUAACGAGCGCAACCCCUAUCGUUAGUUGCCAGCGGAUAAUGCCGGGGACUCUAACGAAACUGCCGGCGCAAGCCGAGAGGAAGGUGGGGAUGACGUCAAAUCAGCACGGCCCUUACGUCUAGGGCUACACACGUGCUACAAUGGCCGGUACAGAGGGCAGCCACCUGGUGACAGGGAGCGAAUCUCCAAAGCCGGUCUCAGUUCGGAUCGAAGUCUGCAACUCGACUUCGUGAAGUUGGAUUCGCUAGUAAUCGUAUAUCAGCAAUGAUACGGUGAAUACGUUCCCGGGCCUUGUACACACCGCCCGUCAAACCAUGGAAGCCGGGGGUGCCUGAAGUACGUUACCGUAAGGAGCGUCCUAGGGUAAAACUAGUAACUGGUGUU
rnacentral:rRNA from 1 species